rnacentral:rRNA from 1 species
AACGAACGCUGGCGGCGCGCCUAAUACAUGCAAGUCGAGCGAGAAGGUGUAGCAAUACACUUGUAAAGCGGCGAACGGGUGAGGAAUACAUGGGUAAUCUACCAUCGAGUGGGGAAUAACCAACCGAAAGGUUGGCUAAUACCGCGUACGCCUCCGAGUCUUCGGGUUCGGAGGGAAAGCUGCACUGUGAGUGUAGCGCUCUUUGAUGAGCUCAUGUCCUAUCAGCUUGUUGGUAGGGUAACGGCCUACCAAGGCUUUGACGGGUAGCUGGUCUGAGAGGACGAUCAGCCACACUGGCACUGCGACACGGGCCAGACUCCUACGGGAGGCAGCAGUAAGGAAUAUUGCGCAAUGGGCGAAAGCCUGACGCAGCGACGCCGCGUGGGGGAUGAAGGUCUUCGGAUUGUAAACCCCUUCGGAGGGAAGAUGGAACGAGCAAUCGUUCGGACGGUACCUCCAGAAGCAGCCACGGCCAACUUCGUGCCAGCAG